AAAUUGAAGAGUUUGAUCAUGGCUCAGAUUGAACGCUGGCGGCAGGCCUAACACAUGCAAGUCGAACGGUAACAGAAAGCAGCUUGCUGCUUUGCUGACGAGUGGCGGACGGGUGAGUAAUGUCUGGGAAACUGCCUGAUGGA
rnacentral:rRNA from 1 species